rnacentral:tRNA from 1 species
GCAGUGGUGGAUCAGUGGUAGAAUUCUCACCUUGCAUGUGGGAGACCUGGGUUUGAUUCCCAGCCAAUGCC